UGCCCAGCAACUCCUAUCCCUACCUCCACGCGGUACCGGCCGGAAACUAUGUGAUAAUCGUAAAUAGG
rnacentral:ribozyme from 1 species